GCUCCUAGCGCUUCCUGAGGACUCCAAGCACUGCAGCAGACACCACAACCACCGUACCGGAGAAGCAUAUGAAUCCUCUCAAGCAUAUGAAUGCUGUAGACAGUUGAAUAGGAACCAUACGAAUAGGUUUACUCUCCUAGCAGUCAAACUGGAACAGCAUACAAUAAAUCCUUCCCCCAAUAAUGAGACGACACUUCACUUUGAG